UGACGAAACAAAGGAGCGUAGUCAGUGCCGAAAUCAAGCAUUCAGGGUUAUUUACUAAGGGGAGAAUUCAGAGUGAAUUUAUAAAUGUAAGGCCAGAGUAGCCAAACUCAAAGCAUGUCCACUUAGCGAAUGGUUCCAGUAUCGCUAUUUUGAACUUUGUCUUAAUGUAAAUUUGUCCAAAAUGCACUGAUUAUUUUAAAUGCUCGCCAUUUUGUUUUUACUUCAGGGCCAUAGAAG